ACUAUCACCGCAACCAUGAGCAGCGAGGCCGAGACUGGGCAGCCGCCCGCCGCCCCCGCCGCCGCCCCCGCCCUCAGCGCCACCGACACCAAACCCGGCACUACGGGGCAGCGGCGCAGGGAGCAGUGGCCCGGGCGGCCUCACAUCGGGGCGCCUGCCGGCAGAGACAAGAAGGGCAUCGCAACGAAGGCUUUGGGAACAGUAAAAUGGUUCAAUGUAAGAAACGGAUAUGGUUUCAUGAACAGGAAUGACACCAAGAAAGAUGUAUUUGUACACCAGACUGCCAUAAAGAAGAAUAACCCCAGGAAGUACCUUCGCAGUGUAGGAGAUGGAGCGACUGUGGAGUUUGAUGUUGUUGAAGGAGAAAAGGGUGCGGAGGCAGCAAAUGUUACAGGUCCUGGUGGUGUUGCAGUUCAAGGCAGUAAAUAUGCAGCAGACCGUAACCAUUAUAGACGCUAUCCACGUCAUAGAGGUCCUCCACGCAGUUACCAGCAAAAUUACCAGAAUAGUGAGAGUGGGGAAAAGAACGAGGGAUCAGAGAGUGCUCCCGAAGGCCAGGCCCAACAACGCCGGCCCUACCGCAGGCGAAGGUUCCCACUUACUACAAGCGGAGACCCUAUGGGCGUCGACCACAGUAUUCCAACCCUCCUGUGCAGGGAGAAGUGAUGGAGGGUGCUGACAACCAGGGUGCAGGAGAACAAGGUAGACCAGUGAGGCAGAAUAUGUAUCGGGGGUAUAGACCACGAUUCCGCAGGGGCCCUCCUCGCCAAAGACAGCCUAGAGAGGACAGCAAUGAAGAAGAUAAAGAAAAUCAAGGAGAUGAGACCCAAGGUCAGCAGCCACCUCAACGUCGGUACCGCCGCAACUUCAAUUACCGACGCAGACGCCCAGAAAACCCUAAACCACAAGAUGGCAAAGAGACAAAAGCAGCCGAUCCACCAGCUGAGAAUUCGUCCGCUCCCGAGGCUGAGCAGGGCGGGGCUGAGUAAAUGCCGGCUUACCAUCUCUACCAUCAUCCGGUUUAGUCAUCCAACAAGAAGAAAUAUGAAAUUCCAGCAA